UAACCCAGAGGUCGAUGGAUCGA
rnacentral:piRNA from 2 species